rnacentral:rRNA from 1 species
GACGAACGCUGGCGGCGUGCCUAACACAUGCAAGUCGAACGGAAAGGCAAUGCUUUUGUGGGGUGCUCGUGUGGCGAACGCGUGAGUAACACGUGAGUAACCUGCCCUUGUAUUUGGGAUAACUUCAGGAAACUGGGGAUCAUAUCCGAUAGGAGAUUCUGAUGCAUGGUGGGGGUUGGAAAGUUUUGGCGGUUUGGGCUGGUAUCGAGGCUUAUCCGCUUGAUGGUGGGGUAGUUGCUUACAAAGGCUGUGACGGGUAGCCGGCCUGAGAGGGUGACCAGCGACAAUGGGACUGAGGGACGGCCCAGACGCCUACGUGAGGCAGCAGGGGGGAGUAUGACGGAGUGGGGGGAAGCCUGAGGCGGCGACGCCGGGUGCGGGAUGACGUGUUACGGGGGAUAAACCGCUGUCGCCGUUGAUGAAGCCGUAGUGACGGUAAUGGGUAAGAAAGCACCGGCUAACUACGUG